UUCGCCCUUGAAACUGCGAAUGGGCUCAUUAAAACAGUUAUAGUUUAUUUGAUGAUUGAGUCUACAUGGAUAACCGUGGUAAUUCUAGAGCUAAUACAUGCAUUCAGGCCUGGCUCCAAGAAGGGCUGUAUUUAUUAGAUAUUAAGCCAAUAUUCCGCAAGGUCUAUUGUGGUGAAUCAUAGUAACUGAUCGGAUCCCGAAUUCGGGAUAGAUCAUUCAAGUUUCUGCCCUAUCAGCUUUCGAUGGUAGUGUAUUGGACUACCAUGGCAGUAACGGGUAACGGAGAAUUAGGGUUCGGUUCCGGAGAGGGAGCCUGAGAAACGGCUACCACAUCUAAGGAAGGCAGCAGGCGCGUAAAUUACCCAAUGCAGACUCUGCGAGGUAGUGACAAUACAUAACAACCUGGGGUCUCACGACUUACGGGAUUGCAAUGAGAACAAUUUAAAAACCUUAACGAGGAACGAGUGGAGGGCAAGUCUGGUGCCAGCAGCCGCGGUAAUUCCAGCUCCACUAGCGUAUAUUAAAGUUGUUGCAGUUAAAAAGCUCGUAGUUGAACUUCUGGUUGCGCGCAGUUUUGGCUGGUCUCCUGAUCGCCCUGAGCGCAGCCAUCCGUCUGCAAACUUUUACAUCCUUAACUGGUUUGUCUAAGGGAGCAGGCAUUUUACUUUGAAAAAAUUAGAGUGUUUAAGGCAGGCUCUCGCCGCUGAAUACAUUAGCAUGGAAUAAUGGAAUAGGACGCCUUGUCCAUUUGAUUGGUUAUUGGACUUGCGUAAUGAUUAAUAGGGACAGUUGGGGGCAUUAGUAUUUAAUUGUCAGAGGUGAAAUUCUUGGAUUUAUUAAAGACUAACUUAUGCGAAAGCAUUUGCCAAGGAUGUUUUCAUUAAUCAAGAACGAAAGUUAGGGGAUCAAAGACGAUCAGAUACCGUCCUAGUCUUAACUAUAAACUAUACCGACUCGGUUUCGGUGGGGUGUUUAUAACUCUAUCGGCGCCGUAUGAGAAAUCAAAGUCUUUGGGUUCUGGGGGGGAGUAUGGUCGCAAGGCUGAAC
rnacentral:rRNA from 1 species